rnacentral:sRNA from 1 species
UGCGGCAGGAUCAUUAUCGAGUUUUGACUGGGUUGUAGCUGGCCUUCCGAGGCAUGUGCACGCCCUGCUCAUCCACUCUACACCUGUGCACUUACUGUGGGUUUCAGAUGCCGUUAGCGGGCCUUCGCGGGGUCGUGAAAGCGUCUGGGCCUGCGUUUAUUACAAACUCUUAUCAGUAUCAGAAUGUGUAUUGCGAUGUAACGCAUCUAUAUACAACUUUCAGCAACGGAUCUCUUGGCUCUCGCAUCGAUGAAGAACGCAGCGAAAUGCGAUAAGUAAUGUGAAUUGCAGAAUUCAGUGAAUCAUCGAAUCUUUGAACGCACCUUGCGCUCCUUGGUAUUCCGAGGAGCAUGCCUGUUUGAGUGUCAUGAAAUCUUCAACCUAUAAACCUUUGCGGGUUUAUUAGGCUUGGACUUGGAGGCUUGUCGGCCCAGCUGGUGUCGGCUCCUCUCAAAUGCAUUAGCUUGAUUCCUUGCGGAUCGGCUCUCGGUGUGAUAAUUGUCUACGCCGUGACCGUGAAGCGUUUGGCGAGCUUCUAACCGUCUCGCAUGAGACAAUUCAUUGACCUCUGACCUCAAAUCAGGUAGGACUACCCGCUGAACUUAAGCAUAUCAAUAAGCCGGAAGGAAAAUUAAUUUCCCA